AUUUGUUGGGCAUUGCACUACUAGAAUCGGAAUCAUCCCACGACAAACCAGAACUUCACAGAAAGCUCGAUGAGAAACCCAGGACAAUGGAGUUUCUUGUGAGCCACCAUCAAAUGUUACUGUCGCGAAUACUAUUUUCCUAACGACUACCGAAUGGACAAAAUUUUCUGUCAUUUUAUUCCCAAGGUGAUAUUGUCUCAUAAAGUAACUAGCUAUUGUCGAUCAGAAAACUUACUAUUCCUGACAAUCUCCCUUGCUUAAUCUUCUUUUUAACAAUCAAUCGAUACACUUUCUGAUCUCUUCUGGCUGAAUUUGAGAGAUUUAAAUUCUAAUCAAUUUAUAACGCAUUUCUAUUUUGACAUCUCGCUCCUCCGAU
rnacentral:lncRNA from 1 species